CCGCAGUGGGCGGCGGCGGCCGUGCCGCUGGUGGCGGCGCUGGCCCUCGGCCGCUCGGUGGGCCGCUCCACCGGUACGGG
rnacentral:tRNA from 1 species